rnacentral:rRNA from 1 species
AGAUUGAACGCUGGCGGCAGGCCUAACACAUGCAAGUCGAGCGGCAGCACGGGUACUUGUACCUGGUGGCGAGCGGCGGACGGGUGAGUAAUGCCUAGGAAUCUGCCUGGUAGUGGGGGAUAACGCUCGGAAACGGACGCUAAUACCGCAUACGUCCUACGGGAGAAAGCAGGGGACCUUCGGGCCUUGCGCUAUCAGAUGAGCCUAGGUCGGAUUAGCUAGUUGGUGAGGUAAUGGCUCACCAAGGCGACGAUCCGUAACUGGUCUGAGAGGAUGAUCAGUCACACUGGAACUGAGCACGGUCCAGACUCCACGGGAGCAGCAGUGGGAAUAUGGACAAGUGGGCAAAGCCUGAUCCAGCCAUGCCGCGUGUGUGAAGAAGGUCUUCGGAUUGAAAGCACUUAAGUGGAGAGGCAGUUACCUAUACGUAUCUGUUUGACGUUACCGA